rnacentral:rRNA from 1 species
UGGGGAAUUUUGGACAAUGGGGGGAACCCUGAUCCAGCAACGCCGCGUGAAUGAAGAAGGCCUUCGGGUUGUAAAGUUCUUUUAUUUGGGAGCAAAGAUUAUGCGUGAAUAGCGUAUGAUUAUGAGAGUACCAAGGGAAUCAGCACCGGCUAACUAUGUGCCAGCAGCCGCGGUAAUACGUAGGGUGCGAGCGUUAAUCGGAAUUACUGGGCGUAAAGGGUGCGUAGGCGGAUAUAUAAGUUAGAUGUGAAAAGCCCGGGCUCAACCUUGGUCGUGCAUUUAAGACUGUAUAUCUAGAGUUUGUCAGAGGGGGGUAGAAUUCCAAGUGUAGCAGUGAAAUGCGUAGAGAUUUGGAGGAAUACCGAUGGCGAAGGCAGCCCCCUGGGAUAGAACUGACGCUGAGGCACGAAAGCGUGGGUAGCAAACAGG